GUAAUCCCAAAACUUUCGAAAAAGACACGUCAGAAAUGUACGGCCAUAUAGUCGCAGGUACGUGGGUCAAGGGCUACAGCCUAUUGUAUCAUAGUAGGGCUGCUACUUGGUUUAUGGCCGAACUUGGGAACAGGAGAGAAAUACAUACCAUCCCUGUUUCGAUGGUAGGUCGUAUUCGGUAUAGAGUAGUAGUAAAAGUAGUAGUAGUGGUAGUAGGCCUUAAUAGUACUGGUCUGGUGAUAGUAAUAAAUACUUGAGUCGGUACUAUAGCAUAGCGGUAGUAGUAAUAUCAACAGGAACAGUACCAGUAAAGUUCGUAGUUGAACGAGGUGACGUUAGUGGUAGUAACUGUCGCCAACGAUAAUUUAUGUUAAUGGGAGUUCAUACCGGCGAGGUCGACGCCGAUCGCCGGGGCAGUCUGCAGGUCGUCGCGGCGCUGAACGGACGCUUCUUCCCGCGUCUCGUCCUUUCCUUCCGACGAAAAAUUCUCCAAUCCCCUUUUGUCGACCCUCGAUUUUUAAUCCCCGCAAUGGCGACGCCCAGCGUCGUUUCGUUUCAACCCCCGACGCAGACUCAGACACUCGGAGCGUCGGGGCGCAUACGCACGUUGCGGCUGCUGCGUCUCGGAGUUCUCUGACGACGUUUCGACGGAUCGUGCAAUCGUGCUCCUGUCAAAAGCAUCGUCGCACCGGAGGCUCUAUUGUUCAGGAGCAUGAUUAUAAGGGAAGCGCAUAAAAUGGAACGAUUGAAGGGGAGAAGAAAGGACGCCGUGAGGAAGGGAAAAGAUGCCGGCUGGCAAGCAGAUGGUUGCUCCGUUUAUUGGUUUAUUCGUCGAGUCGAGCCGUGUCCCACCCGAGCGUAGUCGCAAGUUCUUUGUGCGAGCGAGAUAGCAGCGAUGGUGAACAUAACCAGCCCCGAGGGAAACGUUUCCUGCGAACAGCCAUAGAGCAUUCAUUCAUGAGGGGUAUGGCGGCGACGGCGACGGCGACGGCGACGGCAGGAUCGGGAAUGGCGUCGGAGUCGGCGUAUAUGCAAUGGCGUCGUUGGGCGUACGGCGUCGGGUCGAUAGGAAGGCCAAGGGUCCACAAAAGUGAAACUGACACCCUUCUAUUCAGCAGAGGACCCCAUCUAGCCUGGCUUAUCCCAAGGGAUGAAAUUAUACGCUCGGAAAAUAUCCACCAAGAAGGCUGACGUUAAUUCUGCAUACUACCAUCAACCGAGGCGACAGUUAAACGAAGAAUUUUCUACUGAAUAAAAAUAAAUAAUGAUAUUCUAAAAAGCCAUAUGCACCGAUCCACGGUGACCAACUGACCAAACCCAACACGAAACAGCAUUGAUAAACGCGAUAGACCGGAACGGCGAUGUCAGCUAGUAAAGGAAUACCAGGAGUUGUACCGCUAACACAAGAAGAGAACACGACCUUGCCACAAUCAGCUGUGUCAUCGUCGGCCCGUUAAGUUUCUCAGGUGGUUCGAUCCAAGAGACGAGCGUAUCAAUCACUAUCGGUAGUGCAGGUACGACGUAAUCAAUGCUAUUGAGAUAGGUCUGCUCGUAGACACAAGCUAUAAAGAAGUAUGUCAUAUGACAUAACUGAGCUUGCUCGAGUCAAGACUAAUAUAAAUAUUAGUUCAUUGUUUACUGAUCGUACCUGUAUUGAUUUCCUGUACGGGUUUGAUGAAUGAGGAAGUAAUAGUUGGAUCAUUGAUCGUUACUUUUAUUGAAUGGUAAUUACAUAAAUGGAGGUAGUUAGUUAGAAUUGAAUUGUGAUUAUGAAUGAAUAAUGAUAAGGCGGUUAACAAAAGAAGCAUUAAGUCUUUUGGCUAUUUAAUUUCUAACAAGCUUUACAAUAGGCUUCACGUACGUGCCAUUGUGUAAGAAAGAAAUUCUUAGUGGCACUUUUGUGUGCAUAACGUUUUAAGUAUUCUACGACAAUUAUUGUUCGUACUGUCCACUUACAUGUUUCGUAAUACAACUAUUUUUAUAAUGAACCGCGAGAUGCAGAGGUAUGGAAAUUAUUAUACACGCACUGUAAUUGCAAGGCAGAGACGCACUUUGAUCAGAACUUGAGAAAUGCUUUAAGAUCUAACUUUCACUGCAAUGACCUCUGCAAUGUUCGUUUUUCCUUUCAUCCUACAUAUAUGUAGACGCAACUUUCAGUUCGUUGCAUAUUGCAUUAGCUUUUCAUGCAAAGUGUAUGCAUCAUUUAUUACGUAUAGCCAACUUGGAAUAAAAUCGUUGGAUAACGAAGAUCAUAUUUAUAUGAUCCUACAUGACUAGCUCUAGGGUAUAUUUAAUUAUAGGUGAAAGAAAUUACCAACCCAUUAUUAACUUUGUUUAACGAAUAUUGAUUAGGAGUGACUCUCACGUUUGCAAAUAUUACAACCCACUUUGUCGCAUUAUAUCGGUCUCGUUCUCUCGAGGAGCCACCAACCACGAAAAUUGAUCCUUCCUCGAAGGAUGACUUUACCGAAUCAGCCAAUUUCUAAAUGACUAGGCACACGUGUAGAUACCCAUGUGCAUAAUGAAUUAGAUAAAGUUUUUUUCGAGGAAUGAAAACCUCUUAAUG